UGCUAACGCACGUGUCAUUUAAAAAAGAUAAUAUUCACUGAAAAAAUAAGACAUUGUAGUUCGCGUGAAUCUAAAAAUUGUCGUGAAUCAAAGCAAAAUGUCAAUACCAAAGACUUUGUUAUUGUUCCAUAAUUCUAGUACGUAGUUCCUGUUACUUUAAAAUAACAUAUAAUUUUGAAAGGGAAAUUGAAGUUCGUUGACAUGCAAAUAGUUUCAAUAAGUAAGAAAAUGAAUAGUACACAAAAAAGUCCUACACAUUACGGAAAACUUCUNNN
rnacentral:lncRNA from 1 species